AUAUGUACCCGAGCUAUGAUACUUCGGGCUCUAGGCAGUACGCGGCUACCUUGACACGCGAACUGUACGACGACGUGACCACCUUUGGACGAUCACUAUCGUCUGGACCUCUUCUUCAACAUCGUCCAGUGGUACAGCCCUUCUUGGAAAGAAUUCAGAAUAAGAUACGGACUGUGUACGAGGCUAUCACGUGCACCCGGAGAACCGAUGUUGUUCAGCACGAGCAGGAGCAGCCGCGUCACUCCAUGCAACGACAUCAACCACGUCCACGCCUAGCACAACAGCCGACAACCAUGCCACCCCGUCCUGCCAACCUGGCAGUUCUACGUGGCACCCGCAGCACUAUGGUCCCACGUCGAGCUUCGUGUUUUCUCCACAGCCACAGCAACACGGUCCCUCGUCGAGCUUCGUGUUUUCUCCACAGCCACAGCAGCACGGUCCCUCCAGUUUCGUGUUUCAGCCAGAGCAGACGUCACACCCAGCAGGGGCCUAUGGAUAUCAGGCGUCUAUGUCGGCAUCACAUGAUACGUGGGGGAGUGAUCAACAUCCCGAGGACAACAUACAGGCUCAGAUGUCGCAGCACACCCAGUGGAUGAACAUGUUUUCGACUCCUCCACCAGGCCCCACACAGGAUACACAGCAUGACCAGGGAGAGUCUGAGAUUCCUCCUCGUCACGUUAGGGCAC